rnacentral:lncRNA from 1 species
GCCUUUUCCAAUUGUCCAAUAUUUCUGAAAAUUCUGUGGCUCUUCCGUGUAAGAAAAAUUCAUCGGCGACUGUACUUAAUUGCAUGAAAAGUUGAAUUUGAAUAUAACAAAAUUUCGAUAUAACCAAGCAUAUUGUCGUUUCUACUAACUUCACUAUAUCGAGGUUUUACUAUAUUUGCUCAUUG